rnacentral:rRNA from 1 species
CGUCAGCUCGUGUCGUGAGAUGUUGGGUUAAGUCCCGCAACGAGCGCAACCCCUAUUGUUAGUUGCCAUCAUUCAGUUGGGCACUCUAGCGAGACUGCCGGUAAUAAACCGGAGGAAGUGGGAUGACGUCAAAUCAUCAUGCCCCUUAUGACCUGGGCUACACACGUGCUACAAUGGUUGGUACAACGAGUUGCGAGUCGGUGACGGCGAGCUAAUCUCUUAAAGCCAAUCUCAGUUCGGAUUGUAGGCUGCAACUCGCCUACAUGAAGUCGGAAUCGCUAGUAAUCGCGGAUCAGCACGCCGCGGUGAAUACGUUCCCGGGCCUU